CCCUAUGGGGUGCAGCAGGCGCGAAACCUCCUCAAUGCACUCACGUGCGAAGGGGUUACCUCGAGUGCUAUCUGAAGAAGAUGGCUUUUACUUCGUUUAACAAGCUAAGUGAAUAAGAGGGGGGCAAGACUGGUGUCAGCCGCCGCGGUAACACCAGCCCCUCGAGUGGUGGGGAUGAUUAUUUGGCCUAAAGCGUCCGUAGCCGGCCCUGUAAGUCCCCCGUUAAAUCCAGCGUCUCAAGCGUUGGACCGCGGGAGAUACUGCAAGGCUAGAGGGUGGGAGAGGUAAGCGGUAUUCUGGGGGUAGGGGCGAAAUCCUGUGAUCCCCGGAGGACCACCAGUGGCGAAGGCUGCUUACUAGAACACGCCUGACGGUCAGGGACGAAAGCUGGGGUAGCGAACCGGAUUAGAUACCCGGGUAGUCCCAGCCGUAAACGAUGCAUGCUAGGUGUUGGGUUGGCCAUGAGCCACCUCAGUGCCGCAGGGAAGCCGAUAAGCAUGCCGCCUGGGGAGUACGGCCGCAAGGCUGAAACUUAAAGGAAUUGGCGGGGGAGCACCACCAGGCGUGAAGCCUGCGGUUUAAUUGGAGUCAACGCCGGGAACCUUACCGGGAGCGACAGCAGAGUGAAGGCCAAGUUGAAGACCUUGCCAGACAAGCUGAGAGGUAGUGCAUGGCC
rnacentral:rRNA from 1 species